rnacentral:rRNA from 1 species
GAUGAACGCUGGCGGCGUGCUUAACACAUGCAAGUCGAGCGAGUGAGUUCUUCGGAACGAUCUAGCGGCGGACGGGUGAGUAACACGUGGGCAACCUGCCUCAUAGAGGGGAAUAGCCUCCCGAAAGGAAGAUUAAUACCGCAUAAAAUUAUCGAGUGGCAUCACAUGAUAAUCAAAGGAGUAAUCCGCUAUGAGAUGGGCCCGCGGCGCAUUAGCUAGUUGGUGAGGUAACGGCUCACCAAGGCGACGAUGCGUAGCCGACCUGAGAGGGUGAUCGGCCACAGUGGGACUGAGACACGGCCCAGACUCCUACGGGAGGCAGCAGUGGGGAAUAUUGCACAAUGGGGGAAACCCUGAUGCAGCAACGCCGCGUGAGUGAUGAAGGUCUUCGGAUUGUAAAGCUCUGUCUUUGGGGACGAUAAUGACGGUACCCAAGGAGGAAGCCACGGCUAACUACGUGCCAGCCGCCGCGGUAA